UACGUAGGGUGCGAGCGUUGUCCGGAAUUAUUGGGCGUAAAGAGCUCGUAGGCGGUUUGUUGCGUCUAUCGUGAAAACCUGCAGCUUAACUGUGGGCUUGCGGUGGAUACGGGCAGACUUGAGUUCGGUAGGGGAGACUGGAAUUCCUGGUGUAGCGGUGAAAUGCGCAGGAUAUCAGGAGGAACACCGGUGGCGAAGGCAGGGUCUCUGGGCCGAUACUGACGCUGAGGAGCGAAAGCGUGGGGAGCGAACAGG
rnacentral:rRNA from 1 species